rnacentral:rRNA from 1 species
GGUAGUAAAAGUCGUAACAAGGUCUCCGUUGGUGAACCAGCGGAGGGAUCAUUACCGAGUUUACAACUCCCAAACCCAAUGUGAACGUUACCAAACUGUUGCCUCGGCGGGAUCUCUGCCCCGGGUGCGUCGCAGCCCCGGACCAAGGCGCCCGCCGGAGGACCAACCAAAACUCUUAUUGUAUACCCCCUCGCGGGUUUUUUACUAUCUGAGCCAUCUCGGCGCCCCUCGUGGGCGUUUCGAAAAUGAAUCAAAACUUUCAACAACGGAUCUCUUGGUUCUGGCAUCGAUGAAGAACGCAGCGAAAUGCGAUAAGUAAUGUGAAUUGCAGAAUUCAGUGAAUCAUCGAAUCUUUGAACGCACAUUGCGCCCGCCAGUAUUCUGGCGGGCAUGCCUGUCCGAGCGUCAUUUCAACCCUCGAACCCCUCCGGGGGGUCGGCGUUGGGGAUCGGCCCUUUACGGGGCCGGCCCCGAAAUACAGUGGCGGUCUCGCCGCAGCCUCUCCUGCGCAGUAGUUUGCACACUCGCAUCGGGAGCGCGGCGCGUCCACAGCCGUUAAACACCCCAAACUUCUGAAAUGUUGACCUCGGAUCAGGUAGGAAUACCCGCUGAACUUAAGCAUAUCAAUAAGCGGAGGA